GACGAACGCUGGCGGCGUGCUUAACACAUGCAAGUCGAACGGUAAGGCCCUUCGGGGUACACGAGUGGCGAACGGGUGAGUAACACGUGGGUGAUCUACCCUGCACUUCGGGAUAAGCCUGGGAAACUGGGUCUAAUACCGGAUAGGACCACUGCCUGCAUGGGUGGUGGUGGAAAGCUUUUGCGGUGUGGGAUGGGCCCGCGGCCUAUCAGCUUGUUGGUGGGGUGAUGGCCUACCAAGGCGACGACGGGUAGCCGGCCUGAGAGGGUGACCGGCCACACUGGGACUGAGAUACGGCCCAGACUCCUACGGGAGGCAGCAGUGGGGAAUAUUGCACAAUGGGCGCAAGCCUGAUGCAGCGACGCCGCGUGAGGGAUGACGGCCUUCGGUUUGUAAACCUCUUUCAGCACCGACGAAGCGCAAGUGACGGUAGGUGCAGAAGAAGGACCGGCUAACUACGUGCCAGCCGCCGCAGUAA
rnacentral:rRNA from 1 species